AUGCAAGUCGGACGGCAUGGAGAAGCUUGCUUCUCCAGAGAGUGGCGGACUGGUGAGUAACACGUGGGUGACCUACCCUCAAGUUGGGGAUAGCCAUUAGAAAUAGUGGAUAAUACCGAAUACGAUCACGACACUGUGGUGAUGUGAUGAAAGGGGCUACGGCUCCGCUUAAGGAUGGGCCCGCGUCCCAUUAGCUAGUUGGUGAGGUAAAGGCCCACCAAGGCGACGAUGGGUAUCCGGCCUGAGAGGGUGUACGGACACAUUGGGACUGAGAUACGGCCCAAACUCCUACGGGAGGCAGCAGCUAAGAAUCUUCCGCAAUGGGCGAAAGCCUGACGGAGCGACGCCGCGUGAACGAUGAAGGCCGUGAGGUUGUAAAGUUCUUUUCGGGAGGAGGAAUAAGCGGGGCAGGAAAUGGCCUUGCGAUGACGUGAAUCCCGGAAUAAGCCCCGGCUAACUACGUGCCAGCAGCCGCGGUAACACGUAGGGGGCGAGCGUUGUUCGGAAUCAUUGGGCGUAAAGGGCGUGCAGGCGGCCCUGCAAGUCCGGCGUGAAAUGCCCCGGCUCAACCGGGGAGACGCGCUGGAAACUGCGGGGCUGGAGUACAGGAGGGGAUGCCGGAAUUCCAGGUGUAGGGGUGAAAUCUGUAGAUAUCUGGAGGAACACCAAUGGCGAAGGCAGGCAUCUGGCCAUGUACUGACGCUGAGACGCGAAGGUGCGG
rnacentral:rRNA from 1 species